GCAUGGAUGCUGACUCUGCAUGGCAUCCUGGUGGCAAGGCUCUAUGACCCCAAAGCUGAGGCAGGGAGGGGACCAAGUGGAGACAUGGGAGCCUGCAGCCAGGAGGGGCUGAGGGGAGGUUAUGUCGGCACUGCCUAAGCCGGAAGAACAAACACUCUAGCGAUGGGAAGUAUCAACAAUUCUACUUUGAAACUACUCAGACAGUGUCUCUUCCCUCUUACUCCCCCAAAGGAGGAGAAGAACGAUUAUCAAUGACCAAGCGCAGCUGCAAAGACAACACCCAGAGUGAGCUUCACAGGAAGGAACACUGCACCCUCUCCUCAC